UGGAGUAUAGCCAAGUGGUAAGGGAUCGGUUUUUGGUACCGGCAUGCAAAGGUUCGAAUCCUUUUACUCCAGA
rnacentral:tRNA from 1 species